rnacentral:lncRNA from 1 species
AUGCUUUAUCUUCCUGGGAAUCGCAAUAAACCAGGCAGGUGUGAACCAAGUCGAGACUGUCAGGUGGAAGAAUCGAUGGUUUUUCCUUUGGCUGCUUGUGCAGGCAUUGUGUCCACACAGAUGGUUAUGCACCAGAGCAGAAGACUUGUAAAGAACAAGCCCCUUCUGAUGAUGACAAGCAUUAUCAUUCGUUAUCUCCAAGGGAAACCCGUGGCAUGGCAGGG